rnacentral:misc_RNA from 1 species
GAGAUCUGUGGGUUUUCAACACCUGCUAAUUGUUAAUAUGAUAAAGCAAAUAUUUUUAUUUGCUUUAUACAGGCGGUUUGCUUCUAUUUUCUAUGAUAUUAUAAACUCUAUCAAUUUUAGAACCCAUAACAUUUCUUUACCAUACAGUAUCUUUAUAUGAUAAAAUUAUUGCUGUCCAAAAAGAUGUUACACGUUCAAUUUACAUGUCUCUUUCCGCUUUAUGACGAACAAGUCUGUACCAUUUAAUUACCAUACAGUAUCUUAAUAUGAUAAAAUUAUUGCUGUCUAAAAAGAUGUUACACGUUCAAGCUACAUGUCUCUAUCUCUC